GGUGUAUUAGUUCAGUCUGGUUAGAAUGCCUGCCUGUCACGUAGGAGGUCACGGGUUCGAGUCCCGUAUGCACCG
rnacentral:tRNA from 1 species